rfam:Desulfobacteraceae bacterium IS3 Ga0073107_10099, whole genome shotgun sequence.
UUCGGUGGUAAUAGCAAAGAGGAAACACCCGUUCCCAUCCCGAACACGGAAGUUAAGCUCUUUAGCGCUGAUGGUACUGCAUGGGCAGCUGUGCGGGAGAGUAGGACAUUGCCGAGA